rnacentral:rRNA from 1 species
GACGAACGCUGGCGGCGCGCUUAACACAUGCCAGUCGAGCGAUGAAACUUUAACAGAACCCUUCGGGGCGAAGAUAAAGUGGAUUAGCGGCGGACGGUUGAGUAACACUUGAGUAACCUGCCUUAGACAUUGGGAUAGCCUCGGGAAACCGGGAUUAAUACCAAAUAAAAUCAUAAUGACACAUGUCAUAACGAUCAAAACUCCGGUGGUCUAAGAUGGACUCGCGUCCCAUUAGCUAGUUGGUAGAGUAAAAGCCUACCAAGGCGACGAUGGGUAGCCGGGCGGGGAAGGUGACAGGUUAGAUCGGAAAUGAGAACCAGUCCACAACGCUACGGGAGGGAGCAGUAGGGAAUACUGCGCAAGGGAGGGAAAUGUGAUGACGCGACGCGGCGUGAACGAAGCAUGCGUUCGAGUAGCAAAGUUCUUUUAUAUGGGAAGAUAAUGACGGUACUAGAAAAAAAAGCACCGGCUAACUACGUG